AAUGGUGAUGGAACAGUUAUUUGUGGCUGUGCUAAUGAUGUCUGCACACCUAGCAGUCUCAUAUCCUCUGAUUACAGAGAGAUAUUACACGGAUGGAGGGAGACAAUGCAGACUGUGUCCACCAGGUCAUUAUCAGAAGUCCUGUUCAGAGUGCUCUCCCUGUCGAGAUGGUUCCUACACAGCACGAUUGAACGCAGAGUCCAGUUGUCAUUCCUGCUUCAAAGACUGCAAACAUGAUUUGCACCUGGUGGAGGAUGAGCCGUGUACUUCUGUAUCGGACGCUAGAUGUCGCUGUGAGGCUGGUUUUACCUGCACCGACAAAGACGACCAGACAGGAAACUGUAGAGACUGUGAGAAGAUCCCUCAGCUGCCCCCACCUCCCCUGCCACCUAGCAAUGUAGUGGGCAUCAGAAUCAACCAGACAGGAACUUCCUCUGAACACAGCAGGACUUCCUCUUUCGCUGGACGCUGUCAACCUCCGAACUGUGACAUUCCACGAUCACCAGUCUCACAACCAGGCAACGCCACUCAUCACACCACAGCUGACACCAGCAAACACUUGGCAGCCAUUUUGUGUCCUAUGGUGGUCAUUGGAAUCCUAGCCGUUAUCAUUCUGUUAUGUAUCCGUCGCCCAGGAAAUGAAGCCUGUUUCAAACAAGCUCUCAAGUUCUGUAACAAGGGAGUAAGAGAAACGUCGCCUAACAAGACCAAAGAGCCACCUCAUCAGCACAAUGCCAGAGAGACACAGCCCAGUAUUAAGCACCAGACAGUGGAUCCACCACCUAUUACAGCAGCAAAUAUAGGCCCGGUCCAUGUCCACAAUGCUGGAACAGUCAUCUUCAGUUUACUCAACCAGUUCACUGGUAUGGGUGGAGGGAUGGAAGAGAGAGUGCAGAAAGAGAGGGAUGAGGAAGGAUGUCCGACCCACCCCACACCCUCCCCUAACAUCCAUCUAUCCCAGGAGGAAAGGGAUGGGGAGAUGGACUGUGUAUUCUUCCCUUCACAGGAACAAGGGAAGGACAGUCACGUUUCCAAAGAGGAGGUGCAUUGAGGGGAGGGGGAUUGAGGACAGAGGACGCACCAAGUGAAAGCUUCCCUUCUAGGAUCAGUUUAGCCAACCAUACAUCCUAAUGUUAAUCAUAAGGAGGAUUAAGACUUACCACUGACCCUGGAUCAGUGGUAAGGGACAACAUCUACCUGGGGCUCUAUUCAGUCUGUAUCACUACAGAUUGCGUGAUAGGAACAGAGGUCAUUUCUGAUUGAGCCAACAUAUGCAGCGUUUAAUGUGAAAGCAGUCGCUUCUGACACAGGAACAUUGCCUUUCCAUUUCUUUCAGGCUGUAAAGCUGCACUUCCGCAAUACAGAUUGAAUAGAGCCCUUUUAUUUAACUAGGCAAGUCAGUUAAGAACAAGUUCUCAUUUUCAAUGACGGCCUAGGAACAGUGGGUUAACUGCCUUGUUCAGGGGCAGAACAACAGAUUUUUACCUUGUCAGCUCAGGGAUUCAACCUUUUGGUUACUAGUCCAAUGCUCUAACCACUAGGCCACCUGCCACUCUUACUCUCAGAACACCAGUGAAUCCCAAAACUCUAGAAUGGUCAUUAUUUCCUGUUCUAGACUUAGAUAGAGCUAGACAUCUCACUAUGGUGGUCAUGUACACAUCCACUUGCUCUCAUUUUAUUCAACUGUAUAAAAAGCUUUGUCUCAACUGCUGCAAACUGUUUUUUUCUGUGUUCAUUUGGCACCUUGAACUGUUUUUUUCUGUGUUCAUUUGGCACCUUGAACUGUUUUUUCACAAAUUAAAAGCAAAAUACGAAAUAUACAUUUUCAGUGAAUACAGGUGAUGGGGCGAUUGUAUGACAUUACAGUAGGCCUGUAACAUUUGUGAUUCUGUUCUUUAAAAUACAGCCACUACUAUGUAAGAGUAAACACUGGCAUAAAGCAUAGAUACAGCAAAAAGCAUAAUAAUUGUAACGAAGGUAUAAAACAUCUUCAACAUAAACAUGUACAGUACAUGUAUUCAGCACACAAGUCUGUCUGUCUGUCUGUCUGUCUGUGUCUGUGUCUGUCUGUCUGUCUGUCUGUCUGUCUGUCUGUCUGUCUCUGUGUCUGUGUCUGUCUGUCUGUCUGUCUGUCUGUCUGUCUGUCUGUCUGUCUGUCUCGUUCACACUCUUCCAGUUACUCUUUCUCGGUCACAGACUCCCACUCCCUCUCUCAUCUUUAGCCUGUGUCUUCAUACUUCAAAGUGUCUUUUUGUCCUAUUUUCUUGUCCUUUCUGAAACUCCUAGAUACAGAAGCCACUGCAUUAAACCAAUACAGCAGCCUGUCUAGCCUUCAGGUUAGUUUCACUUCAAUGGGAAUGUGAGGUAGUCUGUUUGUCUCCUGGGUCUCCCAGCUCACUUGUGAGUUCUCAUCCUCUCCUUUGACACUGACUUCCUCCAUCAAACGUCUAGUAGCAGCUCUGGCUUUCCACACACUUCCUGGACCGGCAUGGGCACUUCCUCCUCCGCUGUGCUCUGAUUGGCUGGAGUUGUCUUUUUGGGAGACCAGAAGCCUGAUGGACCAAUAAGAUGAGGGUUAGGUCAAAUGUGCAUGCAUAUGUAUUGUGUUCAAUAGAACUACAGGACAGAUCAACAGUGACGUGGACUUACUGUUUGGUGAACCAAUCCAUCGCAGAAAAGGUUUGAGCUUUGAGAUGGCAACAAGGCAGGUGAGCAGUAGACACACACACACUGCAGACACACACACCGGGAGCCACUUGCUAUCAUCUGUUUGUGUGUAUGAGAGACAGAGGAGUAGAGAGAGAGGUCAGGGCCAUAAAACACAUUAACACCGGCAUUGUAUUGGGUUUUGUGAGAGAGAGAGAACUAUGUAGCUCUCAUGGCAUUUUUACAUGUCACUUUGAACACUUUCAGGCCAUUUUAUCAUUUGUAUUGUAGUUUACCUUGGUUUGGUUUUGUGCUGGGCCCAAUACCAGGUUUGGUGACCGGAUUAGGUCUAUGAUUAGGGAUACCAGGCACCGAGUGGUUUGACACUGUAGCUGGCAUGAUGGGAGGUGUCGGUAUGAGUUUGGGUGUGUUCGGGCUGGGGAUCUCCUCACAGUCCAGACAGGUGCCACUUCCUCUGCAGCGGUAGCCUGGUUUACAGCUGCACACAUCAUUCUGCUUGGUGGAACAGUUAGAUACAUACUGCAGCUCUGUAACGGAACACAAGUCAUAGGUGGUCUAUUUGUCUGUGUGCCUUCAUGUAUACUGACUUUGACAGUGUUUUUGUCACAUAGUCAAACACAAUCUGAAAUCAUGCCUGAAUAUGAGAAAAUGGCUCAUCUUCAAAAUGACUCAUAGUACCUUGUUGAAUCAGGUUUUGACUCACAACGAACUGAAGUGUAUAUUACCGUCUGACCCCACCCUACACACACACACACACACACACACACACACACAGCAGCCAUUUCACUAGAGUGAACAUCAGUUAACGUGUUCACUGAGUCUGGCUACUCUCAAACCUCUCUCACCUCUGUGUUUACCCUCUUUAAAAAUCUCUAUUUUUGUCCCCCACUACACUCGAUGACAACGAUGUAAUGAAAAUGUUCUGUCAGCUGUACUUUCCAAUGUUUAUCUUUAAAGUAAAAAGGUUAUUUCCACCGGUGAGAUUAUAUCUGUCUACCACUAACCCCUCCCACUGUCCCCCCUCCAUCACCACUGAUAUCCUUGACAUUACUUGGUAGACAUGCCAUCCCUUCUGCCCUCCAGGCCUCCCAACCCUCCUCUACUCCUGGGUGGGUGAGUCAGUGUUUCUCAGUGCCCCCCUCCCCCUCUCUCUCUGACUGUGUCCCACCAUGGUACAGUGAAGGGGGAAAUCCCUAGCAGGCUGUGUUUUCAUCUGUAAAGUCCUUUGUAACUAUGACUUAGAAAAACAGGUGAGUAACAGUUUUAGACAGGCAGACAAGACAAGCAUCAGUGCCAAUCAUAGGUUGCUGGAAAUGGGUAGAUACACACACACACACACACUCACCACUCAUGCUGCAGCCGUCGCAGGAUUUGCAGCCUAUGUUGAAGUUGUAGCUGUCUGAGUAGUAGCCGCUGGCGCAGUCAGCACACUGGGUAGGGCUGUUCUGACCGGUGCAGCGUCCCACCAGAUGCUGACCUGUAAAGGGCAACACGUUAAAUGACACACACACACACACACACACCUGAUAAAAGUAUUUUUCAAAAGACUUACCUGGUGGACACUUGUUGCAGCACCAUUGGCUGUCAUGCAGUGGCCAAGCAUACUGUUUCUCAUUGUCGCACGUGAGGGAUUGGACAAGAGAGAGGAGAGAAGGGAGGGAUAGAAAGAUGUGGGUGAUCCACCAGAAGAGAUGCAUCUGAGAGGGAUGAAGAGAAAAAGAGGAAGACAGUCAAUAUUUAACAUAUUUUACAUGAACUUCAGAACAUUGACAUACACUGAUUGUACAAAACAUUAGGAACACCUCCCUAAUAUUGAGUUGCACCUACUUUUGCCCUCAAAACAACCUCAAUUUGUCGGGGCGUGGACACUACAAGGUGUCGAAAGCGUUCCACAGGGUGCUGGCCCAUGUUGAAUCCAAUGCUUCCCACAGUUGUCAAGAUCGCUGGAUGUCCCUUGGGUGGUGGACCAUUUUUGAUACACUCGGGAAACUGUUGAGUGUGAAAAUCCCAGCAGCAUCGUAGUUCUUGACACACUCAAACUGGUGCACCUACUACCGUACCCCAUUUAAAGGCACUUAAAUCUUUUGUCUUGCCCAUUCACCCUCUGAAUGGCACACACACAAUCAAUGUCUCAAGGCUUAACAAUCCUUCUGUAACCUGUCUCCUCUUCAUCUACACUGAAGUGGGUUUAACAGGUGACAUCAAUAAGGGAUCAUAGCUUUCACCUGGAUUCACCUGGUCAGUCUAUGUCAUGGAAAUAGCAGAUGUUCCUAAUGUUUUGUAUACUCAGUGUUUACCGCAUUCAUAAAGAUAUCAUCCAACAAUAUAUUAUCAAGAGUUAAAGCAUUGCAAUGGCAUGACAUUAUUGUAGGCCCCCAACAGCAACUAUAAGGGACUGUUUCAAGGACAUGAGACACAAGAGACCACCUAAAGUAGAAAACAUGAUACAGACUCCAGACAAAACACCAACCAAUGCUGACAUUGAAAAACAAAGCGAAAACAAAACCGAUGACAUAAACACGUCCAACUGUAUACCAUUAUAGAUACAUCAAGCAAGCCCAGGACUCUAACGACAGACCUGAACAAAACGUGUUUCAGUAGGGAAGUGUAGAGUCUGACUGUAUACCAUUAUAGAUACAUCAAGCAAGCCCAGGACUCUAACGACAGACCUGAACAAAACGUGUUUCAGUAGGGAAGGGUAGAGUCUGACUGUAUACCAUUAUAGAUACAUCAAGCAAGCCCAGGACUCUAACGACAGACCUGAACAAAACGUGUUUCAGUAGGGAAGGGUAGAGUCCGACUGUAUACCAUUAUAGAUACAUCAAGCAAGCCCAGGACUCUAACGACAGACCUGAACAAAACGUGUUUCAGUAGGGAAGGGUAGAGUCUGACUGUAUACCAUUAUAGAUACAUCAAGCAAGCCCAGGACUCUAACGACAGACCUGAACAAAACGUGUUUCAGUAG
rnacentral:lncRNA from 13 species